UACGUAGGCAGCAAGCGUUGUUCGGAGUUACUGGGCGUAAAGAGUGCGUAGGUGGUGCCCUAAGUCUGUUGUGAAAUCUUCCGGCUUAACUGGGAGGGUGCGGUGGAAACUGGGGUGCUUGAGUGUGGGAGAGGUAAGCGGAAUUCCUGGUGUAGCGGUGAAAUGCGUAGAUAUCAGGAGGAACACCGGUGGUGUAGACGGCUUACUGGACCACGACUGACACUGAGGCACGAAAGCGUGGGUAGCAAACAGG
rnacentral:rRNA from 1 species